rnacentral:rRNA from 1 species
AGCGAACGUUUGCGGCGGGCCUAACACAUGCAAGUCGAACGCACUAGCAAUAGUGAGUGGCGCACGGGUGCGUAACACGUGGGUAAUCAACCCUUCAGCUUGGGAUAACGACUUGAAAGGGUCGCUAAUACCGGAUACGGCGCGGGAGGCUUCGGCUUCUCACGAGAAAGCCUCGCAAGGGGCACUGAAGGACGAGCCUGCGGCCCAUCAGCUAGUUGGUGAGGUAAGAGCUCACCAAGGCGAAGACGGGUAGCCGUGU